UACGUAGGGUACAAGCGUUAAUCGGAAUUACUGGGCGUAAAGCGUGCGCAGGCGGUUUUGCAAGACAGAUGUGAAAUCCCCGGGCUCAACCUGGGAACUGCAUUUGUGACUGCAUGGCUAGAGUACGGUAGAGGGGGAUGGAAUUCCGCGUGUAGCAGUGAAAUGCGUAGAUAUGCGGAGGAACACCGAUGGCGAAGGCAAUCCCCUGGACCUGUACUGACGCUCAUGCACGAAAGCGUGGGGAGCAAACAGG
rnacentral:rRNA from 1 species